rnacentral:tRNA from 1 species
GCUGGUGUAGCUCAGGGGGAGAGCAACGCACUCGUGAUGCGUAGGCCGGGGCUCAAUUCCCUUCACCAGCA